rnacentral:rRNA from 1 species
UGACGGUACCUGACGAGAAAGCCCCGGCUAACUACGUGCCAGCAGCCGCGGUAAUACGUAGGGUGCAAGCGUUGUCCGGAAUUACUGGGCGUAAAGAGUUCGUAGGCGGUUUGUCGCGUCGUUUGUGAAAACCAGCAGCUCAACUGCUGGCUUGCAGGCGAUACGGGCAGACUUGAGUACUGCAGGGGAGACUGGAAUUCCUGGUGUAGCGGUGAAAUGCGCAGAUAUCAGGAGGAACACCGGUGGCGAAGGCGGGUCUCUGGGCAGUAACUGACGCUGAGGAACGAAAGCGUGGGUAGCGAACAGGAUUAGAUACCCUGGUAGUCCACGCCGUAAACGGUGGGCGCUAGGUGUGGGUUCCUUCCACGGAAUCCGUGCCGUAGCUAACGCAUUAAGCGCCCCGCCUGGGGAGUACGGCCGCAAGGCUAAAACUCAAAGGAAUUGACGG